rnacentral:rRNA from 1 species
GAUGAACGCUAGCGGCAGGCUCAACACAUGCAAGUCGAGGGGUAGAAGUCUUCGGACUUUGAGACCGGCGCACGGGUGCGUAACGCGUAUGCAAUCUACCUUUUACAGAGGGAUAGCCCAGAGAAAUUUGGAUUAAUACCUCAUAGUAUAAUGACCUGGCAUCAGGAUGUUAUUAAAGUCGCAACGGUAAAAGAUGAGCA